UACGGGGGGGGCAAGCGUUGUUCGGAAUUACUGGGCGUAAAGGGCUCGUAGGCGGCCAACUAAGUCGGAUGUGAAAUCCCCAGGCUUAACCUGGGAAUUGCAUCCGAUACUGGAUGGCUUGAAUCCGGGAGAGGGAUGCGGAAUUCCAGGUGUAGCGGUGAAAUGCGUAGAUAUCAGGAGGAACACCCAUAGCGAAGGCAGCUCGCUGGGACGGUACUGACGCUGAGGCGCGAAAGCGUGGGGAGCGAACAGG
rnacentral:rRNA from 1 species